AGCCUCUAGUGCAUGGCUGUCCAACCUCCGGCCACCCAGAUGUUGCUGAACUACAACUCCCAUGAUUCCCUUGCUGUCUGUUUAAUUGAAAGGAUCCUGGGAGUUGUAGUUCAGCAACAUCUGUGGGGCCGCAGGUUUGACAUCUCUGCUCUAGUGGCU